UCAGCGGCGGACGGGUGAGUAAUGCCUAGGAAUCUGCCUGGUAGUGGGGGAUAACGUCCGGAAACGGGCGCUAAUACCGCAUACGUCCUGAGGGAGAAAGUGGGGGAUCUUCGGACCUCACGCUAUCAGAUGAGCCUAGGUCGGAUUAGCUAGUUGGUGGGGUAAAGGCCUACCAAGGCGACGAUCCGUAACUGGUCUGAGAGGAUGAUCAGUCACACUGGAACUGAGACACGGUCCAGACUCCUACGGGAGGCAGCAGUGGGGAAUAUUGGACAAUGGGCGAAAGCCUGAUCCAGCCAUGCCGCGUGUGUGAAGAAGGUCUUCGGAUUGUAAAGCACUUUAAGUUGGGAGGAAGGGCAGUAAGUUAAUACCUUGCUGUUUUGACGUUACCAACAGAAUAAGCACCGGCUAACUUCGUGCCAGCAGCCGCGGUAAUACGAAGGGUGCAAGCGUUAAUCGGAAUUACUGGGCGUAAAGCGCGCGUAGGUGGUUCAGCAAGUUGGAUGUGAAAUCCCCGGGCUCAACCUGGGAACUGCAUCCAAAACUACUGAGCUAGAGUACGGUAGAGGGUGGUGGAAUUUCCUGUGUAGCGGUGAAAUGCGUAGAUAUAGGAAGGAACACCAGUGGCGAAGGCGACCACCUGGACUGAUACUGACACUGAGGUGCGAAAGCGUGGGGAGCAAAC
rnacentral:rRNA from 1 species